CUGUUUCUGUGAUGAAUUAUCAUUACCUACAUUGUUUGAGGGUUACUCAUUGAUGAAGACAUGAUGUUCUGAGAAACAA
rfam:Nematostella vectensis strain CH2 x CH6 NEMVEscaffold_283_Cont22323, whole genome shotgun sequence.